CUGCUGUAAAUACUUUCAAGGAAACUAGUCAAGUAGUUGCAUUCCUUAGUUUUAAAAAGUUUCCUGCAAGAAACUUUAAAAUAGUUUAAGACUUAAGUAUAAAAUUGCUUAAGUAAGUGAUGAAGGGAAGUGAGUAAGUAAGUGAAUGUUGACUUAGUAAGUCAGGCAGACUUUAUACUCUUCCAAGUGUGCAGUGUUUACCAAGAUUAUUAAAAAACAAACAAAACUCUGACUCCUAGGAAAGAUGAGGGCAAAGAUCCAGAUAUAUAGACCCUCCCACAAAAUCAAAUGGAAUAAAUAAAACUUUUCUUUUUAAAGAAGACUUAAUACAAGGCACCAAAGCUAAGGAAAGUUCUUAACUCCAUGGCAGAGACUUUGAGUUGCUGAGAGGUAGCAGGUUGGGCCAAACUAUCCAAAGACUCUGGGAAUUCACAUGCCACACCCUUCUGGAAGAGAAAGAGUAUGGACAAGAUUCUUUAAUACUCUUCCUCUAUUGCAGAUAAAUGACAGUGUUCAGUGAACGUGAACUUUAAGCAAGAUCAGUGACAAACUAGAAUUAGAGAAUGAAGUCUAAAUGGAGUUUACAGAGGUUGGGAGGAAAUGAGAGCAAAAAUUAUAUUAUUGAACAACUAACAAGUGGACUAGAAACAGAACCAAGUCAUUUUUGCAGAGAACAAAAUGAAUGACAUGGAUUAAAUUGUUGAAAGUAUUAAAUGGGAUAACGCACGUUAAGCACAAUGCUUGGCCUAAAGUUUUGGAGGCUAGAGAUAGACAUCAGAAUUUUUUCCAUUUAUUUUGCUUAACUAAACAGAAAACAUGAAUUAAGAUUUGGAAGAAGUUAUGAGGAAAGGGACCCAUUUUCAUUUGUCUUGAGGAUUAAGAAUCAAUUUGAGAAGACCCUCAGAAUCAGGUGAGCAUUGUUUUAAGGAAUUCUAUAUAAAACUCAAAACAGACAUAAAGGCUACUUAAAGGCUACAAGAAUGUUUUGUAUCUAGCAAGCUUCCAAAAUGCAAUUUUAACUUAUUCAACUGCUAAGCAAGCCUUUACAUGUCUCUCCAAUGCAAAGGAAGGUUCUUCUCAAGGGACAUCGAGUCUUUAAUUCCAUUUAAGUUAAAUC
rnacentral:lncRNA from 1 species